rnacentral:rRNA from 1 species
UAGGGAAUCUUCCGCAAUGGGCGAAAGCCUGACGGAGCAACGCCGCGUGAGUGAUGAAGGUCUUCGGAUCGUAAAACUCUGUUAUUAGGGAAGAACAAAUGUGUAAGUAACUAUGCACGUCUUGACGGUACCUAAUCAGAAAGCCACGGCUAACUACGUGCCAGCAGCCGCGGUAAUACGUAGGUGGCAAGCGUUAUCCGGAAUUAUUGGGCGUAAAGCGCGCGUAGGCGGUUUUUUAAGUCUGAUGUGAAAGCCCACGGCUCAACCGUGGAGGGUCAGUGGAAACUGUAAAACUUGAGUGCAGAAGAGGAAAGUGGAAUUCCAUGUGUAGCGGUGAAAUGCGCAGAGAUAUGGAGGAACACCAGUGGCGAAGGCGACUUUCUGGUCUGUAACUGACGCUGAUGUGCGAAAGCGUGGGGAUCAAACAGG